UGCAGUCGAGCGGAUGAGAAGAGCUUGCUCUUCGAUUCAGCGGCGGACGGGUGAGUAAUGCCUAGGAAUCUGCCUGGUAGUGGGGGACAACGUUUCGAAAGGAACGCUAAUACCGCAUACGUCCUACGGGAGAAAGCAGGGGACCUUCGGGCCUUGCGCUAUCAGAUGAGCCUAGGUCGGAUUAGCUAGUUGGUGAGGUAAUGGCUCACCAAGGCGACGAUCCGUAACUGGUCUGAGAGGAUGAUCAGUCACACUGGAACUGAGACACGGUCCAGACUCCUACGGGAGGCAGCAGUGGGGAAUAUUGGACAAUGGGCGAAAGCCUGAUCCAGCCAUGCCGCGUGUGUGAAGAAGGUCUUCGGAUUGUAAAGCACUUUAAGUUGGGAGGAAGGGCAUUAACCUAAUACGUUAGUGUUUUGACGUUACCGAGAGAAUAAGCACCGGCUAACUCUGUGCCAGCAGCCGCGGUAAUACAGAGGGUGCUAGCGUUAAUCGGAAUUACUGGGCGUAAAGCGCGCGUAGGUGGUUUGUUAAGUUGGAUGUGAAAGCCCCGGGCUCAACCUGGGAACUGCAUCCAAAAGUGGUCAAGCUAGAGUACGGUAGAGGGUGGUGGAA
rnacentral:rRNA from 1 species